rnacentral:rRNA from 1 species
UACGGGGGGGGCAAGCGUUGUUCGGAAUUACUGGGCGUAAAGGGCUCGUAGGCGGCCAACUAAGUCCGACGUGAAAUCCCCAGGCUUAACCUGGGAACUGCGUCGGAUACUGGAUGGCUUGAAUCCGGGAGAGGAUGCGGAAUUCCAGGUGUAGCGGUGAAAUGCGUAGAUAUCUGGAGGAACACCGGUGGCGAAAGGCGGCAUCCUGGACCGG